rnacentral:rRNA from 1 species
UACAGAGGUCUCAAGCGUUGUUCGGAUUCAUUGGGCGUAAAGGGUGCGUAGGCGGCGCGGUGAGUCGGGUGUGAAAUCUCGGAGCUUAACUCCGAAACUGCAUUCGAUACUGCCGUGCUUGAGGACUGGAGAGGAGACUGGAAUUUACGGUGUAGCGGUGAAAUGCGUAGAUAUCGUAAGGAAGACCAGUGGCGAAGGCGGGUCUCUGGACAGUUCCUGACGCUGAGGCACGAAGGUCAGGGGAGCAAACGGA